rnacentral:rRNA from 1 species
AGGACGAACGCUGGCGGCGCGCUUAACACAUGCAAGUCGAGCGGAAAGGCCCUUCGGGGUACUCGAGCGGCGAACGGGUGAGUAACACGUGAGCAACCUGCCCUUAGCUCCGGGAUAGGCUCCGGGAAACCGGAAUUAAUACCGGAUACAACCACGGCCGACAUCUGCUGUGGUGGAAAGGAUUCCGGCUAAGGAUGGGCUCGCGGCCUAUCAGCUAGUUGGUGGAGUAACGGCCCACCAAGGCGACGACGGGUA